rnacentral:rRNA from 1 species
UACGAAGGGUGCAAGCGUUACUCGGAAUUACUGGGCGUAAAGCGAGCGUAGUCGGUUAUUUAAGUCGGAUGUGAAAUCCCCGGGCUCAACCUGGGAAUUGCAUUCGAUACUGGAUAGCUAGAGUUCGGCAGAGGGAAGCGGAAUUUCUGGUGUAGCGGUGAAAUGCGUAGAUAUCAGAAGGAACAUCAGUGGCGAAAGCGGCUUCCUGGACCAGAACUGACGAUCAGGCUCGAAAGCGUGGGGAGCAAACAGG